UAAAGUGCUUAUAGUGCAGGUAGUGUUGCAGUAAUCUACUGCAAUAUAAGCACUUGAGU
rnacentral:pre_miRNA from 1 species